rnacentral:rRNA from 1 species
AUUGAACGCUGGCGGCAUGCCUUACACAUGCAAGUCGAACGGUAACGGGCCUUCGGGUGCCGACGAGUGGCGAACGGGUGCGUAAUACAUCGGAACGUGCCCGAUCGUGGGGGAUAACGAGGCGAAAGCUUUGCUAAUACCGCAUACGAUCUACGGAUGAAAGCCGGGGACCGCAAGGCCUUGCGCGGACGGAGCGGCCGAUGGCAGAUUAGGUAGUUGGUGGGAUAAAAGCUUACCAAGCCGACGAUCUGUAGCUGGUCUGAGAGGAUGAUCAGCCACACUGGGACUGAGACACGGCCCAGACUCCUACGGGAGGCAGCAGUGGGGAAUUUUGGACAAAGGGCGCAAGCCUGAUCCAGCCAUGCCGCGUGCAGGAUGAAGGCCUUCGGGUUGUAAACUGCUUUUGUACGGAACGAAAAGCCUUCUUUUAAUACAGGAGGGUCAUGACGGUACCGUAAGAAUAAGCACCGGCUAACUACGUG